rnacentral:rRNA from 2 species
UUCUUUCAGACAGGAUUGAAAGUAUAACCUGCUCAAUGUUCUAUAAAUAGCUGCGGGAGACUGUACUAAGGUAGCAUAAUCAUUAGCCCUUUCAUUGAGGGCUGGAAUGAAAGGUUGAAUGAAACUUAUGCGAUCUUCUUUAUUUCUUUCGAAGUUGAUCUCUCAGUAAGAAAGCUUAGAUAAAUCUUAGGGACAAGAAGACCCUAGAAAGCUUUAACUUAACUUUAUUUAAAAAGAGAGAAGGUUUUGGUUGGGGCAACCUUUUAAGAUAAAAUUUUAAAAAUGAGCCAUAAAUUAUGAUUAAUAGACAAGUUACUUUAGGGAUAACAGCAUAAUAAGAGGGUGGGAGUUCUUAUCCCCCCUUCUGUUUGUGACCUCGAUGUUGAAUUAAUGAACCUACACGGCGUAGAAGCUCCCUUAGGUAGUCUGUUCGACUAUUAAACCAUUACA